rnacentral:rRNA from 1 species
UACGGCCUACGGGGGGCAGCAGUGAGGAAUAUUGGUCAAUGGGUGCAAGCCUGAACCAGCCAAGUCGCGUGAGGGAUGACGGUCCUAUGGAUUGUAAACCUCUUUUGUCGGGGAGCAAGGCCCGCCACGUGUGGCGGGAAGGAGAGUACCCGAAGAAAAAGCAUCGGCUAACUCCGUGCCAGCAGCCGCGGUAAUACGGAGGAUGCGAGCGUUAUCCGGAUUUAUUGGGUUUAAAGGGUGCGUAGGCGGGCUUUUAAGUCAGCGGGAAAAAUUCGGGGCUCAACCCCGUC